GUAGAAAACUCCAUGAUGCUCACAUGCUGCAUAAAGGCUUAUUAGAUUGAAGUGGUUGAUUUUUCUAAGCAAAUUCACCUCAUUAGAGAUGUCUCUGCUCGUCUUCUUUAUGGCUAGCACUUGUCCGCCAAUAAUCCCACGAUAGACAGAGCCACUCAACCUAUUGCUAGUGCUGAAGUCUUCAGUUGCUACCUUUAAUUCCUCAAACGCAUAGAUUUUCAACCCCAGAUCAACCCCAGCAACGCGAUUCAGAAAAUCUUCGGGUAACGC
rnacentral:misc_RNA from 1 species